rnacentral:rRNA from 1 species
AUGAACGCUAGCUACAGGCUUAACACAUGCAAGUCGAGGGGCAGCAUGGUCUUAGCUUGCUAAGACUGAUGGCGACCGGCGCACGGGUGAGUAACACGUAUCCAACCUGCCGUCUACUCUUGGACAGCCUUCUGAAAGGAAGAUUAAUACAAGAUGGCAUCAUGAGUCCGCAUGUUCACAUGAUUAAAGGUAUUCCGGUAGACGAUGGGGAUGCGUUCCAUUAGAUAGUAGGCGGGGUAACGGCCCACCUAGUCUUCGAUGGAUAGGGGUUCUGAGAGGAAGGUCCCCCACAUUGGAACUGAGACACGGUCCAAACUCCUACGGGAGGCAGCAGUGAGGAAUAUUGGUCAAUGGGCGAGAGCCUGAACCAGCCAAGUAGCGUGAAGGAUGACUGCCCUAUGGGUUGUAAACUUCUUUUAUAAAGGAAUAAAGUCGGGUAUGGAUACCCGUUUGCAUGUACUUUAUGAAUAAGGAUCGGCUAACUCCGUGCCAGCAGCCGCGGUAAUACGGAGGAUCCGAGCGUUAUCCGGAUUUAUUGGGUUUAAAGGGAGCGUAGAUGGAUGUUUAAGUCAGUUGUGAAAGUUUGCGGCUCAACCGUAAAAUUGCAGUUGAUACUGGAUAUCUUGAGUGCAGUUGAGGCAGGCGGAAUUCGUGGUGUAGCGGUGAAAUGCUUAGAUAUCACGAAGAACUCCGAUUGCGAAGGCAGCCUGCUAAGCUGCAACUGACAUUGAGGCUCGAAAGUGUGGGUAUCAAACAGGAUUAGAUACCCUGGUAGUCCACACGGUAAACGAUGAAUACUCGCUGUUUGCGAUAUACUGCAAGCGGCCAAGCGAAAGCGUUAAGUAUUCCACCUGGGGAGUACGACGGCACCGGUGAAAAUCAAAGGAAUUGAUGGGGGCCCGCACAAGCGGAGGAACAUGUGGUUUAAUUCGAUGAUACGCGAGGAACCUUACCCGGGCUUAAAUUGCAGAUGAAUUACGGUGAAAGCCGUAAGCCGCAAGGCAUCUGUGAAGGUGCUGCAUGGUUGUCGUCAGCUCGUGCCGUGAGGUGUCGGCUUAAGUGCCAUAACGAGCGCAACCCUUGUUGUCAGUUACUAACAGGUUCCGCUGAGGACUCUGACAAGACUGCCAUCGUAAGAUGUGAGGAAGGUGGGGAUGACGUCAAAUCAGCACGGCCCUUACGUCCGGGGCUACACACGUGUUACAAUGGGGGGUACAGAGGGCCGCUACCACGCGAGUGGAUGCCAAUCCCCAAAACCUCUCUCAGUUCGGACUGGAGUCUGCAACCCGACUCCACGAAGCUGGAUUCGCUAGUAAUCGCGCAUCAGCCACGGCGCGGUGAAUACGUUCCCGGGCCUUGUACACACCGCCCGUCACACCAUGAGAGCCGGGGGGACCCGAAGUCGGUAGUCUAACCGCAAGGAGGACGCCGCCGAAGGUAAAACUGGUGAUUGGGGUG